AUUGAACGCUGGCGGCAUGCUUUACACAUGCAAGUCGAACGGCAGCGCGGGGGCAACCCUGGCGGCGAGUGGCGAACGGGUGAGUAAUGCAUCGGAACGUAUCCUGUAAUGGGGGGAUAACGUAGCGAAAGUUACGCUAAUACCGCAUACGCUCGAGAGAGGAAAGUGGGGGAUCGCAAGACCUCACGUUAUAGGAGCGGCCGAUGUCCGAUUAGCUAGUUGGUGGGGUAAAGGCCUACCAAGGCGACGAUCGGUAGCUGGUCUGAGAGGAUGAUCAGCCACACUGGGACUGAGACACGGCCCAGACUCCUACGGGAGGCAGCAGUGGGGAAUUUUGGACAAUGGGCGAAAGCCUGAUCCAGCCAUGCCGCGUGC
rnacentral:rRNA from 1 species